CCCCCGCGCCGCCCGCCACGCCGUCCCCGGGCGCGGCGGGCAGCACCCCCGCGGCGGGCUCGACGCACUCCCUCAACACCGACACCUCCGACACUACGCCCAGGUCGCGCAGGCGCGGCGUGCUGGUGCAGGCGCUGGUGCAUCAACAUCCCAAGAGCAGCGGCAGCGGCUCGUCGUAGGCGCCGCGCGUUACGUGCACCGCCAACGUUACCGCACUUUACAUUCAUUCUUAUUACUUACUUUUUAUAAUGCCUUUUAGUUUUUUUUAUUACUAAUAUAAAAUGUGUUCACAUGGAAUUUUGCAUUAUAUAUUCCUUGAUCUUA